rnacentral:rRNA from 1 species
AUUGAACGCUGGCGGCAGGCUUAACACAUGCAAGUCGAGCGGAGAUGAGGUGCUUGCACCUUAUCUUAGCGGCGGACGGGUGAGUAAUGCUUAGGAAUCUGCCAUUUAGUGGGGGACAACAUUCAGAAAGGAAUGCUAAUACCGCAUACGUCCUACGGGAGAAAGCAGGGGAUCUUCGGACCUUGCGCUAAAUGAUGAGCCUAAGUCGGAUUAGCUAGUCGGUGGGGUAAAGGCCUACCAAGGCGACGAUCUGUAGCGGGUCUGAGAGGAUGAUCCGCCACACUGGGACUGAGACACGGCCCAGACUCCUACGGGAGGCAGCAGUGGGGAAUAUUGGACAAUGGGCGGAAGCCUGAUCCAGCCAUGCCGCGUGUGUGAAGAAGGCCUUUUGGUUGUAAAGCACUUUAAGCGAGGAGGAGGCUACUAGUACUAAUACUACUGGAUAGUGGACGUUACUCGCAGAAUAAGCACCGGCUAACUCUGUGCCAGCCGCCGCAGUAA